rnacentral:rRNA from 1 species
AUUGAACGCUGGCGGCAGGCCUAACACAUGCAAGUCGAGCGGAUGAAGGGAGCUUGCUCCUGGAUUCAGCGGCGGACGGGUGAGUAAUGCCUAGGAAUCUGCCUGGUAGUGGGGGAUAACGUCCGGAAACGGGCGCUAAUACCGCAUACGUCCUGAGGGAGAAAGUGGGGGAUCUUCGGACCUCACGCUAUCAGAUGAGCCUAGGUCGGAUUAGCUAGUUGGUGGGGUAAAGGCCUACCAAGGCGACGAUCCGUAACUGGUCUGAGAGGAUGAUCAGUCACACGGGAACUGAGACACGGUCCAGACUCCUACGGGAGGCAGCAGUGGGGAAUAUUGGACAAUGGGCGAAAGCCUGAUCCAGCCAGGCCGCGUGUGUGAAGAAGGUCUUCGGAUUGUAAAGCACUUUAAGUUGGGAGGAAGGGCAUUAAGUUAAUACCUUGCUGUUUUGACGUUACCAACAGAAUAAGCACCGGCUAACUUCGUG